GAUGAACGCUGGCGGCGUGCCUAAUACAUGCAAGUCGAGCGGACGGACGAGGAUCUUGCUUUUCUGAUGUUAGCGGCGGACGGGUGAGGAACACGUGGCUAACCUACCUAUGAGACUGGGAUAACUUCGGGAAACCGGAGCUAGUACCGGAUAAUAUUUUGAACGGCAUGGUUCAAAAGUGAAAGACGGUCUUGCUGUCACUUAUAGAUGGAUCCGCGCUGCAUUAGCUAGUUGGUAAGGUAACGGCCUACCAAGGCAACGAUGCAUAGCCGACCUGAGAGGGUGAUCAGCCACACUGGAACUGAGACACGGUCCAGACUCCUACGGGAGGCAGCAGUAGGGAAUCUUCCGCAAUGGGCGAAAGCCUGACGGAGCAGCGCCGCGUGAGUGAUGAAGGUCUUCGGAUCGUAAAACUCUGUUAGCAGGGAAGAACAUAUGUGUAAGUAACUGUGCACAUUUUGACGGUACCUAAACAGAAAGCCACGGCUAACUACGUG
rnacentral:rRNA from 1 species